AUUGAACGCUGGCGGCAGGCCUAACACAUGCAAGUCGAGCGGAUGACGGGAGCUUGCUCCUUGAUUCAGCGGCGGACGGGUGAGUAAUGCCUAGGAAUCUGCCUGGUAGUGGGGGACAACGUUUCGAAAGGAACGCUAAUACCGCAUACGUCCUACGGGAGAAAGCAGGGGACCUUCGGGCCUUGCGCUAUCAGAUGAGCCUAGGUCGGAUUAGCUAGUUGGUGGGGUAAUGGCUCACCAAGGCGACGAUCCGUAACUGGUCUGAGAGGAUGAUCAGUCACACUGGAACUGAGACACGGUCCAGACUCCUACGGGAGGCAGCAGUGGGGAAUAUUGGACAAUGGGCGAAAGCCUGAUCCAGCCAUGCCGCGUGUGUGAAGAAGGUCUUCAGAUUGUAAAGCAUUUUAAGUUGGGAGGAAGGGCAGUAAGCUAAUACCUUGCUGUUUUGACGUUACCGACAGAAUAAGCACCGGCUAACUCUGUGCCAGCCGCCGCAGUAA
rnacentral:rRNA from 1 species